rnacentral:rRNA from 1 species
GACGAACGCUGGCGGCGUGCUUAACACAUGCAAGUCGAACGGGCCCGCUCUCUUUUUUGGGGGUGGGUUGAGUGGCGAACGGGUGAGUAUCACGUGAGUAACCUGCCCCCUGCUCCUGGAUAACUGCUUGAAAGGGCGGCUAAUACGGGGUGUGCCGGCUGGUCCGCAUGGGCCUGGUCGGGAUGGUUUCAUCUUCGGGUGUUUCGGUGGGGGAUGGGCUCGCGGCCUAUCAGCUUGUUGGUGGGGUGAUGGCCCACCAAGGCGGUGACGGGUAGCCGGCCUGAGAGGGUGGGCGGCCACACUGGGACUGAGACACGGCCCAGACUCCUGCGGGAGGCAGCAGUGGGGGGGAUUGCACAAUGGGCGGAAGCCUGAUGCAGCGACGUCGCGUGAGGGAUGGAGGCCUUCGGGUUGUGAACCUCUUUCUCCGGUGGUGAAGGCCCUGUCCGUUGCGGCGGGGUUGACGGUAGCCGGGUAUGAAGCGCCGGCUAACUACGUG